rnacentral:lncRNA from 10 species
GAGCCAUUUCCCAUGUCUCUCUGUUCUCCAAACCGCGAUGAAAUUUCAACCUGCCCAACACGAUUACUGGUCCACCUAGAAAUGCCGUGGAGCGAUUUAAGAGCCUCGGAAAUUUCCUUUAAGGUCAGGAGAGAAGCUGGUAACAGAUGGGGCGAAGGAGGAAAAGUUCUUUUUGCGGCACCCUCACGCCUUCCCAGCCCUUUCGCGGUUUACUCGCUCCCCGGAAAGCAGGGCAUUCAAGCAGCCCUGAGGAGAGGUCCACAUGGUGAGCCACUGAGGGCCUUGCCAAGAGCCAGCACCAACGGUCCAGGUUUGGAGUGUACCACCUUGGAAGUGAAUCUUCCAGUCCAGUCAAGCCUUCAGAUGACUUCAGAACCGUCCAUGUAAGCCACUCUUGGAUUCCUGACCCACAGAAACUGUUGGAGACAGACAAACAUGUGCCUCCUGAUUGAAAAAACAGAACAUCACCUGUAGUCUUGCCAGUGAGAUCAAACUGAAGUCCAAUUAACCUCUGGAUCCAGCUGCCAAUUUGCAGGAAAUAGAGGAGAGAAGCAUCUGUUGAACUGCACCAUGAGUAUACACUCAGCAAAGGCCAAACUGUGGAAAAUGAUACAGGUCAAACAGCCUGGAUUCUUUAACAGUAAGUGAUGUUUCUGAAGCACCAAUGAAAAUGAAGUCCUGAAGUCCUGUGCUCAAUAUGAAAUGUUGGAAGUUAGAAGAAAAAAACAAAACUUGGAUCCAAUCUCAAGGCACUUUUUGUUUAAUGGGAAGAAGUGGAUUAUUUUAAAAGCUACAAAUAAAGUUACAUAAAAGUAGCAAA